UAGCGGAGGAAAAGAAACUAACAAGGAUUCCCCUAGUAACUGCGAGUGAAGCGGGAAGAGCUCAAAUUUGAAAUCUCCUUCGGGCGAGUUGUAAACUGGAGAAGCGUUAUCAGACGCCGGCCGCACUAAAGUCUCCUGGAAUGGAGUGUCAUAGAGGGUGAGAAUCCCGUGCUUGGUGCGAUUGCGGCGUUGUAGAGGCGUUUUCUAUGAGUCGAGUUGUUUGGGAAUGCAGCUCAAAAUGGGUGGUAAACUCCAUCUAAAGCUAAAUACUGGCGAGAGACCGAUAGCGAACAAGUACCGUGAGGGAAAGAUGAAAAGGACUUUGGAAAGAGAGUUAAAGAGUACGUGAAAUUGCUGAAAGGGAAGCGCUUGGAGUGAGUCGCGCGGGCGGGAGUCAGCUCUGCGUACUUCCUGCCCGUGGGCCAGCAUCGACCUUGGACGGCGGAUAAGGGCGGUGGGAAUGUGGCAUCUCCGGAUGUGUUAUAGCCUGCUGUCGUACACGCCGACUGGGGUCGAGGACUGCUUAUAGGAUGCUGGCGUAAUGGCUCUAAGCGACCCGUCUUG
rnacentral:rRNA from 2 species